CGGGCGGGAGGGAUGGGGAGCACCGCGCACACGCGCUCGGCUCCAGGUGCGUGGGAGCGGGCUGGAAGAGAGGAGCCCCCGGGGCUGCUCUGCUAACAAAGCCCCCCCGGCGCAGGCUGCGGUCGGACCUCGCUAAAAACCCGCUUAGUGAUAUUUUAUCCUCUCCUAUUUCUUCUCUCUCUCUCUAUUUUUUUUUCUUUUUUCUUUUUUUUUUUUUUCCCCGGCUUUGGGCUUGAUCCCGGCCUCCCAUUGAAGGCCAACUUGGCGAUCGUGUCUGCACUUUCCCUGUGAGUUCGCUGUUGCUGGGGAGGUCUGCAGGGAGGGGAUCCCCAGGACGGGUCCCGCAGCCCGGCGCUCCCCUCCGGCAGCGCAGGCACAGAGCCUCCCGCACCUCCGCCGCGAGCCCCAGAAGUUGGGACGUAAUAUGUAUUACAAUGUCUGGCAAAUAAUAGGGAGAAAAAAAAAAGGGGGGGGGGGGGGGGAGAAAGAAAGAAAGAAAGAAAAAAAAGCAAUUGGCAAAUCUGCAUUCCGUUCCCAUGGCGACACAAAGCACCGCGCUCUCCGCCGAGCCGCCCCGGCACGUUUUUGCAGCCGGUGUGGGGUGAGCACCCCCGGCUGGGGUUGGAGUCCCUGGGUGCCCCGUGGGGCACUCAUAGGGUACGGCCGCAGCCCCUCGCCCGGUGCCCGCGGGGACGAUCCCUGCGCCCUCGGGGGCCGUGGCAGCCCCGGGGCGGGGGGGAUGCAGAAGGAGCCGUCCCCACCGCCUUCCCGGGGCUCUUCGCUGCCCCCGCGGUGCGGGAGAGGAGCGAGAUGGGCAGGAUGCUGCCGCUCUCCCUCUGCUUGCACGUAUGGGUGCGGGUGCCCGGCCCCGUCCUUUUGGCACAGGGCAGAGGGCAGCAUCGGGGCCCGAGCCCGCGCCCAUCUGGGUGCAAGAGAGCGAAAAGUGGAAGCUCCGCGCACCCCGGGGGGCUCUGCACCAUCCCCAGCGCAGGGCCGGCAUCAGCCGCCGCAGAGACCCUUUCCAGGGCCAAACCACCGCCGUAACCCCAUCAGGAGAAAGGAUCUCAGCCUGAAUUCGGCUGUACCGUGGGAAAGCAAAGUUCCAAGGAGCGCUGUUAAUAGAGAUUCUAAUGAGGAGUCAUUGGAGAAAUUAAAAAGGGGCAGAGAGAGACGGCGGCGGCGGCGCUAAUUCCGCAGGAAACCUCCCAGGGAAAGGCAGCGCAGGCGGGAGCGCUGGGAAGCAUGAAGGCCUGGAAUUAGACUAUCAUUUAGAGAGCGUUACUAAUCUGAAGUUACAGCAGUAAUUCCGUGAUUUGCUGGGUCCCACACGCAGCGCCGGAAUUAAAGAUACGGAUUUGAGAGAAACGUAACUCAACGGCGGCUCCGCGGCUCGGCGAGCGCCGAAUGAAUCAUUCAUUCCAAAGGCAGCCAAAGACGUGUCAUUAGGAGCCGACCUCCUCCUCUCCAUCUGGAAUAUGCGCGCUCCGUGCGAGCCCAGAAAUUGUGGAAGGGAUCGGAGGUGGGAGGAGGGAACGCGGCCCUUCCGCUGCUCCGUUACAUCGGUUAUUUAUAAGAAAUAAUCUUCCCAUUGCUUUGCGCAAUGUUGUGGUUGGUGCUCUGUUCCUCUCCUGCUUUAUUUUCCCUCCCGUGCGAUAGCGCCGAGUCAGGUGCGAGCGUUGAGGUGGAGAUGCUUUAAAACUGGAGCGAACAAAGCGAGCAAGGUGCUUGAUGAAUGCAUUUAUUCCGGAGUAAUGAUUUGAUGGGGGAUGGAAGAAAGAAACAUUCAAAUUCCUAAUGAAUGUAAUUCAGGGGGAAGCGUUGGAGCGGUGGUGGAGGAGAGCUGCGUUGCUGGAGUGCUGCUGCGUGGCACAGCCCAGGAGGUAGUUCUGUCCAUGGCUUUUGUAGUGGCAAAAGGUGGGCAUUUAAAAAGAAAAUCCAAGGAAAAGGAAGUGUGUGUGUAUAUAUAUAUAUAUAUAUGUACACAUAUACGCACACAUAUAAGAAAUGUGUUUGUGUGUGUGUGUGUAAAUACAUAUAUAUGAUUUAUGAAAUAAAAUGGAAGUGUGGCGAUCAGGGUGUGCACGUGAACUCCUACCAAGGACAAGGCAAGCUCUGUCGCCGUGCUCUUGGGUGCUCAGACAGCAUCCUCAGCUCCCCUGUUUCCCCUCCCCGAAGCCCCGUGCUCUCAGCUGACUGUUGGGGUGUUCUGCAGGCGGUAGGGCUGGCCCACGUAUCCCGGAGCUGUUCCCCCACAGUAGGUUUGAGGCAGGGAUGGAGCACUUUGCCCUUUAUGUUCCGGGCAAGAGGAGCUGUGGUCACAUUUUUGCUGGGGUUUCAUUCUUCGUUUUCACCCUGGGAGUCGGCAGUGAGGGUGCACCCAUCCGCACCGCAGUGCCCACCUCGCAGCCCAGUGCCACUUCUCCGCUUUCUGCCUUCUGAUGGGUCGCUGGCCCACCUCCUUUGGACGUGGGAUGGGUUUUGGUGAGCAGGGCCACACCUGAAGCAUCCCAGCAGCCUGCUGCCGCUUGGCCCUGCGCCCUGCUGGUGUCAGUGUCACUGUCAGCCCAAACCUUCCUCCCAAAUCCAGAAGGACGGUGCCUGCUGGUGCUCUCAUCGCUUGUGGGGCAGUGCGGCGCUGCAGGCAGGGAGCAGAGCGUGGCUCCCAGGUCCCUCCUGCUGCUGGUGGCGGUCCCUUUGCAGAGGUACAGGGUGCAGUGCGGGUGGGGUGAGCUCUCCGAGGCCGGGUGUGAUGUCUUUGUUCUUCAGCGGUGCUGGGGGUGGGCAGAGGGAGACGGGGAUGUAAAGAUCCUUGGGGGUAAUUGGAAAAUGCCAUUAGGGGAUCGAUGCCACAGGGCAUCGCGUGCUCCAACUGUUUUAUUUAUUUCUCUUCUCCAGAACUUCUCCCCGUGGAGCGGGAUGGGCUCAUGGAUUUGUAGCCGGUGCCCAACCUGUGUGGCACUGAGUGGGUGGGGAUGGGGCUGCCUGGUGCCUGCUGCUCCAACAAGCUGUGCUGAAUGGAGGCAGGGCCGCUCGGUUAUGGAUGAGAUCCCAUCAAUGGGCAUUUUUGUGGAAUUGCCUGGCGAUGGCUGGUGUGGAGCUGGAGGCCUGGCUCCGUCGGUCCUUUUGUCUCCCUGAUUCAUCGCGUGCUGCCUGCAUCCACCUGGCCCUGUGUCCUGGCUCUGUCUGUGCCAUGGGGCUGCGCUGGAGGCCCUGCCCAGGUCUGAGGCAUACAGCUCCCAUCCCCUCAGCUCAGGGUGCUCUGUGGCAGCCAAGUGCUAAUUUGGCACCGGGAGCUUUUCAGAGCUGUGAGCACGAAGGUGUUUGCAUCUCACACAUAGCGCGGGUGCCACGUGUCACCUGGGCGCUUUGUCACCCCAAAUCCUCACGAGCUGUUGGGGUCGGUGGUGUGAGAUGGGGACAUCGCCGCCUGUGCCAGCUUCCCUCCGCCACCCUGCCCAGGUUGGUUUGCUGCUUUUUGGCGUUUCUUGCCCCAAAACACGUUGGCAGAAGCGAGGCGUGCCGGGUGGGGACAGAGCUCUGGGUGCCACAUCAAUGUUUGUUCAGCGGCUCAGGUUGGGUUUAGGGGUGUUUGCCUGCACAGCUCAGGAAUGGGAGUAAAAAAAGAAAACGGGCUGGGGAGGAAAGCACACAAUCUCCGUCAGUUAGCUGUCUCUUGGAAACUCAGCUUGCUGAUCCUAUAGAGGCUUUCUCUUUUCCUUCACCCUGGUCUGGCCUUAAGUACCACUUUAAGUGGGCUUUGCUCAUUCACAUCCAGGCUCCUUAGAGCAAUUGAGCCCGCGGGGGUUUGAAAAGAAGGGACGGUCCCUCAAUGGCAGGACCUUGGGCCAGGCUAAUUGGUUUUGGUUCAAGGGGAUACUGGAUUUGUGAAAAGCCCAAAGCCACCUUUCCCACGCCAAAUCCCGGCCCUUCAGAGGGGGAAGUGUGGGGUGCCAGGUGGGGAAGGAGCUGAAAGAAGGGUGAUGUGCUCGGAGCUCCGUCGCUGCCCCAACACCCACCGGCCCCUGCAGGGAUGGGGACCCCGUGGUAGCACAGGGACGGGUCCCUGCUCUAUGGGGACGGGUCCCUGCUCCGUAGCUCCAUCCUGCUUUCGUUAAACCUUGGCUUCAAGGCUGCCACGGAGACGCUGGGAGGAGCAGAAGGAUGGGACCUGGGGAAAGCUGGCAGCACCAAAUCGCAUGCGUGCAUGUCUUUUAUGUCUCAUUUUGCUUUGGGAUUUUAUUUUUUUUUUUUCCCCUUACGCUGAAUCUCUCUGGCACCAUUCCAGCAGUCCCAUGACCUUUACUCUCCCAGAUCCAUAAAAAUCACUUAAUUAUUGGGCCGAAAAUCAAGGCUUGGAAACAAAGCCAGCUUAUGGGACCAUCAUUUCUUGAUGUAUUUCCUGCGAGGACAUAUUUCUGGGCACCUUCAGAGCCGUGCGCGCAGCGUGUUGGAUAUGAGAUAUCAAGGCAUUAUUUAUUGAGGAAGUCUUCACACUCCCUCAUCUGUUAUAAUUAACUGAUGACAUUUUUUCUAAGGUUCAAAAUAUGGUGAAAAAGUAUAAUUAGCGCGAAGCUGAGGCACUGCAUUAAAAUGUCUCCUAUAGUUAAUGUAAGAUCGUGCUGCUAUUUAUUAUAGGAGGGGUCGGCUCUGACCUCUGUGUUGCCUAACACUUUUUAUUGUAAAGAUUGUUGAACUUUUUUUUUCUCUUUUUGAGACCCUCUGACACUCCCAUUGUUUGCUGCGGGCCCUUGAAAUUCGGCGGGGGGAAGCUGUUCGGCGAGAGCGAUGCCUAUUCUUUGUCCCCUAAAUUCCUUUCAGGUUUAGCUGAAUUAUGAAUCAUUCAGAAUCACAAUUUCCCUUCGGUUGCCUCUUUGAGGCGGGGGGAAGAAAAAUAAAUGUGUUGUUUCUCCGGAAUAAUAAUCACAACAAACCAGGAGCGCGGUGCCCUGGCACGGCUGGGUUGGAUGGAAGAACCAUCACGACCGCCUCUAUGAGCCCCUUCCACAUCCAACCCAUCUGUGCCCCCAUCUCCCGGCACCAAACUCGGUGCGGGGAGGAAAAAAUUGCAUCUGUGUGCAUGGGUCCUGCCAGCCCCAGCGGUUCGCCUUCCUGCACCGCCGACCCCGGGAGAGCAGCCUUCUGCCGCUGCCAGAUAACAUUAGCUCUGUAUUUCAUAGUGGCAGAAAUCUGUGCCGAGGCUCCGGGCUCGAAAUCCCUCUCCCCGCGAUGAGCGUGGGGUGGAGGGAGGGGAAUUUGCUACACUUGCGUACAAUUGUUUCUUUUCUUUCUUUUUUUUUUUUUUUUUUUUUUUUUGCUUUUUUGCUUAUAUAAACAAUGUAUUAUUUAUUAGGCAUAAAUAAUACAUUUUCUGUAUGUUUAGAAUGCACGUGAUUUCUGCAGAUUAAAAAUGUACGGGGUUUAAGGCACCAAACCAAGCGCUCGCAGGUCGGGGUGCGCGACUGCGCUUUGGCCGUGGGAUGUAAUUCAGCCUCUGCUGCCCGUGCCCAUCUCGGGCUGCAGUGACUCGGUCACAGCCUAUUUAUAGCUCACUCCCUCUUUCCCUGGUCAGGGUAGAUGCACGGCGAGGUGGAAUUGAGGUUGCACGGACAGCCGUAAAUUGAGCAUUUCCUAACUUGUGAAGUGCUUGACCACGGAGUUCAAACGAGGCCUUUUCAGGGCUGGGUUUCCGCAUGUGGCAUUAACGGCGUUGGUAGGGGAUGCAAAAUGCAGGCGUAGAGAAGCCAUAGAACAGCACAGCCCAAUUGGACUAUUGAAAGUGCUCUUUGAAUAGGUGGGGGAGUCAACAGAGCCUACACUUGAUCUGAGCUCAAUGGCCAAGAAGAUGUCUCCAAGCUGAAAGGGGGAAGCCUUUGUUUCACCAGCACCAGCCACGAUGUUUUCUUUGCCUUUGGUUUUGCCUCGUUCACUCCUAGGGAGGUUUGGGCUCCUUCUCUUGAGGAAUCUUCAUUGUGUUCACUGAAAUUGCACUUGGGAAAGCUGGUGUGGCCUUAGGAGGGUGCACACACGCGUGCUCCCAGCGUCACACCUCCCGACGUGCGCUGCCCGGGUCCGCGCCUUGCAUGCUCCUUCUUCCCAUGGAGCACACAUUGGAGGGAAAAGGGCGGCCUUUGUGCAUUAUAUGGGAGAUUUAAUCUCUUUUUUUAACUGCUGGAAGAAUUUCCUCCACUUUCCUUGGGAGCUGAUGGCGUGCAAUGCAGAUUUAUCUUUGCUGGAGAUGGCUUUCUUUUUCCUUUUCUUUGUUUGCUGGGAAUUCUCUCCAUUCUGCCUUGCAAUAUUUGUGAGGACGCGUUUGGCUCUCUCUGUUUUACAGCAGAGGACUCCAGCCAUUUUUGCCUUGUGGGUUCCUGCAGCCUGGUACCCUACAGGGGCUGCACCUGUGCUGGCACCAUGUCUAUCUACGUGCGCCACAUUGGGGUGUCCAUUGUGUGGGUACUGCCCAGUGUUCCACGGGCAUCUUCUUCAUAACUUUCCCCCUCUCUCCCACAUCUCAGUUCAGCAAAGGGCCUGUCUAUCUGGAUGCAGGCAAUAAACGUCUGUUCUCACCCUGACUUCUGUUAAUGAGAUAGAGACAGGUAAGCAUCACACAUACCAACUUUCCUGCUCUCAGCAACAUCAAGGAAACGGUGACAAGCUAUUAAUGGAAAGUGAUGGUCUGGGUGCUAAUUAGUGCUUCCUUUUCAACUUUUACCUCCAUGUCUCCGCGAUGCCCAUCCCAGCCUCUCCUUUCUCCUUGCAUCCCUUUGUUUCCAGCACGUUCCUCGUUCACUGCACACAUCCCAUCUCGAAGGGGCUUCUCUGUUCUUUUCCUACCAAUUGCUUGCUGCAUCUCUUCAUUCUCUUUUUGUGCCUUUUUUUUCCCUUGGUAAUUGCUGCCUGUACCUCCUUUCUCCAAAAAAAAAUAUAUAUAUAUAUAUAUGAGAACAAUACUGUGGUGGGGUCUGAGACCUUGGGAAUUGGGCCAUGCAAAGUUGGUCGUGAGUUUCUCAUCUUCAUCACCGGGCUGUGGUAUCUGCUUGUGGCACUGGCACACGGGGUCACAGUACCCUGGGGACGUGAGGUCAGAGAUCCGUCCCCUCUUCCCACAGGUAACGCUAUGGGGAGUCUCCCAGCAGCUCCCAGGUCCUGGUCACAGAGCAAUUAGUAUUUAAAGCAGAUCCAAUGGUGAUGCCCGCAGAUGGAACGGGAUGGCUCUCUGCUGUGUGAGCCUGUAUGAAAUGACAGGUUCUGCUAAGCCCUAAGUGCUCUCACUUGCCACCAGGCCCAGAAGGGGCUCUUUUUUCCAUCUCCAGCCCAAUCCCUGCUGCUGCAGCAGCGUGAUGCCUGGCCUCAGCCUGGUGCCCACUCUCUCCCACACCUCUCUCCUGUCUCCUAGGCUCUCUGGCUUCCCCGAGGACCCAACCAUCCCCUCCUCACUGUUUUCACAUGGGCUGUGCUUUUCCUGCUGCCAGGCACAUCCCACAGAGCCGCGUAAUCUGGCCCUGUCAUUCCCAGUCACAGGCUCAGCACACACCGUAGCUUUGUGGGGAACGCUCGCAGGGCAUCUAUGGUUUGCAUAUUAGCUAAUUAAUUUUCAUGACCAAACGAUGCUGCCUGGUCUCCUGUUUAUGCUCCUUGCCGCUCCGCUCUCCCUCUCCUCGCUGACACACACACGAGACGACACAUCUCCUCCGAACGUCAGCAUCCUCCCGCAGCCUUGAGAUGCGAGUGGUUAUUCUGUUGGCUUGUCAAACGCGGGUUUCCCAGCUUCAUGAGCUGACUGCGAGUUCGUGGAGCGGGAUGCCUUGGGAAGGGAUGGGACAUCUCCACCUGAGCGAGGAGAGAUCCCAGUGAGGGGAGAAGGGAUGUCCCCAGCCUGACAGCUCCUUCCUGGCUGCGCUCUGCCCGCUCUCUGCCCGAUGUCUCCGGGAUUCUCCAGGAGGGACCCAACCUGCCGUGGCCCCAGCAAGAGGCAGCAUUGGCUGCUGGACGUGGAGGGGUUCUGCAUUGCUUCGCACCUGUGGGGAGGGAGCCAGGGGAUGGGGAGCCUGGCAAAAAUCCCGUGUAACUCCUGUAUGUCACCUCCAGGACCCAAAUACCCCUGGGCAGAGAGGUGUGAGCACCGUCCCAGCUGGGUGUGGGGAUGUUGGUGGGAGCAGGAGGGAGGUCUGAGUGGGAUGGAUGCCAUGUUAAGGGGCUCUGCUCAUGGAGCAGAGCUUGGCCUACGCUGUGCGUGUGUGCGUGAUGGACUGAGCGUGGGCUGACCACGCCUGGUCCAGGCGGUGUUCCAUUGCACUGUAAGAAAAAAGCACUGUAAUUCCUCCCUAAUUAAAAUCAACCCCACCCCGUGCACUGUUGCAAAUAAACACUCCUUUCUGCAAAAGCGAG
rnacentral:lncRNA from 1 species